UACGAAGGGGGCUAGCGUUGCUCGGAAUCACUGGGCGUAAAGGGUGCGUAGGCGGGUCUUUAAGUCAGAGGUGAAAUCCUGGAGCUCAACUCCAGAACUGCCUUUGAUACUGAAGAUCUUGAGUUCGGGAGAGGUGAGUGGAACUGCGAGUGUAGAGGUGAAAUUCGUAGAUAUUCGCAAGAACACCAGUGGCGAAGGCGGCUCACUGGCCCGAUACUGACGCUGAGGCACGGAAGCGUGGGGAGCAAACAGG
rnacentral:rRNA from 1 species